rnacentral:rRNA from 1 species
AUUGCCCCAGUAACGGCGAGUGAAGCGGCAAGAGCUCAAAUUUGAAAUCUGGCCUCCCGGGAGGGGGGUCCGAGUUGUAAUUUGCAGAGGAUGCUUCGGGCCUGGUCCCCAUCUAAGCGCCCUGGAACGGGCCGCCGGAGAGGGUGAGAGUCCCGUCUGGGAUGGGGGACCGGAUCCCCGUGAAGCUCCUUCGACRAGUCGAGUUGUUUGGGAAUGCAGCUCUAAGUGGGUGGUAAAUUCCAUCUAAAGCUAAAUACCGGCCGGAGACCGAUAGCGCACAAGUAGAGUGAUCGAAAGAUGAAAAGCACUUUGGAAAGAGAGUUAAAGAGCAUGUGAAAUUGUUGAAAGGGAAGCGCUUGCGACCAGACUCGCCCGGUGGAGGCUCAACCGGCACAUGUGUGCCGGCGUGUUGCUCCUCCCCGGGUGGGCCAGCGUCGGUCUGGGCGGCCGCUGAAAGACCCCCGGAAGGUAGCGCCCCCCACGGGGGGCGUCUUAUAGCCGGGUGGUGCCAUGUGGUCGCCGGGACCGAGGACCGCSCCGUUGGGCUCGGAUGCUGGCAUAAUGGUCGCAAGCGGCCCGUCUUGAAACACGGACCAAGGAGUCUAACAUCUACGCGAGUGUUCGGGUGCCACGCCCGUCCGCCCAGUGAAAGCGAAUGGAGGUGGGAACCCCCCGUACCCCGGGGGGUGCACCAUCCGACCGAUCCGGAUGUUCUCGGAUGGAUUUGAGUAGGAGCGUAACUGUUGGGACCCGAAAGAUGGUGAACUAUGCCCUGGAUAGGGUGAAGCCA